AACGCUUGCGAGGGUUGCACGACGGACAGGCCGUUGUUGGCGACCGAUCUACAUUGGUUGCUCGAGGUGCAUUGCCUCAAGGUGUUAC
rnacentral:tRNA from 1 species